GUCGGUUGCUCAACCGACUGAGCCACCCAGGCACCCCCUUCACUACUAUCUUUAAUGCACAAAUUCUCACUCUGUGUCCAGUCAGUCUAGAGUUGACUUUGUUAGAAGAGUCAGGUGCAGUCAUGUGACAUGCUUUGGCCAAUGGAAUGUGAGUUGAAAUUACCGGCUUCACCACACUGUCUGUCUUCCCUUAUAUCACAGCAAUGACAAAUGAUCCAGAGGGCACUGGCCCAUUAGCCUGGAACCUGGAGUAAGAAUGAUGUAGAACAGAACCCCCUCUGGCCCACCAUGGACAAGAAGCAUUGAAAACAAAGAGAAGGAACUGAAUGAUUUCACCUACCAAGAACAGAGCACAGUAGCCAACUCUUAACAAUCAGACAAAGGACAGUGGCAGAAUAGGCAGGGCCCCAGGCAAGGCACACCAGUGGAGCACACAGCCUUCUGUACAGCCAGCCUCCCACCACCUCUCCCACCACGAUUAUUGGUCUUCACAAGCCAUGCUGCACUGCUGGGGUUUGUAUUCCUGUGCAUAAGACAAGGUCCCUGAACUGUACACACAGCAGAUAUGUAUCAAUGCCAGGAAGUGUUAUCACCACACACUGCCUGCGUCAUGAGCCAUGAGCAAGGCCAGCUGCUCAUGAGUGGAAUUUUCUAGUUAUCAGAGAGCUCUCAAAAAUGCAAAGUACUGUGGAGUUCCUUGGAGACUCAAAUUGGAUUUCUCUUGUUUUCUUUUUUCCAAAUUCAGGGAUCAAUUUGGGGUAGCAAUUUGGGUAUUUUGUUCAAGGGCCUAGGAAGUAAACUGAUGUACUUUCUGCAAACCCUCUUCCUGACUCCAUGCGUACUGUCUCAUACACAUAACAGAUCUUUAGUGAUUCAAUUCUAUCCCAUUCACUUAAUAUUUAGUGAGUCUCUCAUAAAAUAAGCUAGUUACUGGAGAUAAGGCAGUAAACCAGACAGAUCUGAUUUGGAUUAGUUGGCUAACAAAGAAAACAGACAUUUAACUACUAAUUCAAGUAUAACACAUAUUACAGUAAGAGACAUAUCAAGUGCUAUAAAUAUAUCUAGAAAGGGAAUACAGCCUACUCCUGGAUGUACAGAAGGCCUGCUUGGGAAAGACCCAAAGUUGGGUGGCUUGAUAAAGAGAAAGAGAAAAUUUUCAACAGAGGAAAUAAUGUAUGUGAAGAACCUAUGGUAGAGACUGUGGUAUAAUCACAGAUGUAAACUGCUAAACUUCUGGGGCUCCUGGGUGGCUCAGUUGGUUAAGCGUCCAAAUUCAGCUCAGGUCAUGAUCUCAUGGUUUGUGAGUUCGAGCCCCAU